UUUUUGCAGCAAUUCGGUGGACAGCAGGGACGACUCUCACGACACGGAACCAUUACAAGAUGAGCUUCUGUCAGCCGACGCCGAGCGCACCCCCGGUGAGGAAGAUCCCGUGUCAGAGGGCACGUGGAGGAAUUUCUACCUCAUGGACUACGACCCCAUCAACCAGCUGCUGGUGUGCAUGGCGUGCGGCGAGCAGCAGCACUCGCACAGCCCAGAGGGAGCGCUGGCGCACAUCGACGAGGCCCACCCGCACACGCGCGCCCUGGAGCCCGCCGAGCGCCGCCGCAUCCUCGAGGCCUGGGACGAGCAGGUGUCCCGGCGCGAGCGCUUCUUCACUCGGCAGCUCCAGCGGCGCGCCGCAACUCCGGCAGAAACGUACAGCAACUGAACUGCGGGACAAAAGCAACCUUUUCUGGCAUGACGACGACGUUCCAUCGAGAAGUUGUUCAUUGAGACAAAGCAAUUGAUAAACACACACAUCAGGGAUCGG